rnacentral:rRNA from 1 species
GCGACCCCAGAUGGGCGGGAU